GUGGCUAUAGCACAAUGGUUAGUGCGUUGGAUUGUGGCUCCAAAUAUCAGGGUUCGAUUCUCAGUAGUCACCCCA
rnacentral:tRNA from 1 species